rnacentral:rRNA from 1 species
AUGCUGCUUACACUGAGACCAGCCGUUGUUGCUUCAACGUUGCCGAGCCAGCGGGAUUUGCCGCGCUGGGAGUUGGCUUCCGCGGUGAGCGUCGUUCCCAGGCUGCCGGCGUGUAUCAAUCUUGUGACUACAUGCAGUCUCCACAAAGCCGCAAUGACGGGAGGGCUCCUACUCAUCUGCGCGCUUCCGGAAGUCCGACGCCCCCAGCUCCAUCACCGCCGCUGUCCGUGGCGGGCACACGUCCGCGUGCUGCCAGGAGCUCCGCGGCGGGCAUGGCUCCUCCGCCGGGAUCCCCGCACCUCUGCUCCACAACCGCCACGCCAGCGGCCAUGGCGGGCUCUUCGUCCUCCCCAUGCUCCCUGCGCAGUGGGUGGCGGCGUGGCCACAGAGGGCGCGAUUGGUGCUCGCCGGGGAAGACGGAGCCCCGGAGCAGGUGCCGGGGAUUCCGGCGUGGGGCGUGCGAGGAGCCUGACGGACGACGACCUGGAGGAGCUCAACGGGUGCGUGGAUCUGGGGUUCAAUUUGUAG